UCCCCAAGCAGCAUCAGUCGAGAAUUCUGCGUUUGCUUCACGCCGCUCACUACAGGAGUCUGAUUUAGGGAAAAAGCCUGAAGCCGCUACAUGGCAGUGCAGAUGAGUGGAACAGGGUGCGCGGUCACAUCCACCUCAUUUCACUAUGCGCUCGCGCUGCUGAGAGCUACAGCCCGGUAGACUGCAGCACAGCGGGACAGAGGCACGAGCAGCGCUUUCGGUUUUCACACCAGGAAUGGAGGCGUCAGCCGACGGCGCGAGCAGCCUGGCUGAGGCCGAGGAUGGCAGCCCGUUAUCCGAAGACGAACCGGUGUCUGGGGUCGGUGACAGCCAAGUGAUGGAUGCAGGUGACUCUGAUGCUGUCAAAAAGGCUUUCAUCACAGAGAUGGCAUCAUCUUCAGGCCAGCCAGGCCUCGGGAAAAAGAUCGGACACAGAGGAGUGGAUGCUUCUGGAGAGACGACGUACAAGAAGACCACAUCAUCAGCACUGAAAGGAGCCAUCCAGCUUGGCAUCGGCUACACGGUGGGCAAUCUGAGCUCCAAGCCUGAGAGGGAUGUCCUCAUGCAGGAUUUCUACGUAGUGGAGAGCAUCUUCUUCCCCAGCGAGGGGAGCAACCUGACACCGGCCCACCACUUUCCAGACUUCCGUUUCAAGACGUAUGCUCCCGUGGCUUUCCGUUACUUCAGAGAACUAUUUGGGAUUCGUCCCGAUGACUAUCUGUACUCUCUGUGUAACGAGCCGCUGAUCGAGUUGUCGAACCCAGGAGCCAGUGGUUCUGUGUUCUACGUUACCAAGGAUGACGAGUUCAUCAUCAAGACCGUCAUGCACAAGGAGGCGGAAUUCCUGCAGAAGCUUCUGCCUGGAUAUUACAUGAACCUUAACCAGAAUCCUCGCACCUUGCUGCCCAAGUUUUUCGGCUUGUACUGCGUGCAGUCCGGGGGAAAGAAUAUCCGGGUGGUGGUGAUGAACAACAUCCUGCCCAGGGUGGUACGCAUGCACCUUAAAUACGACCUCAAGGGCUCCACAUACAAGCGCAGGGCCUCCAAAAAAGAGCGAGAGAAGGCAAGGCCAACGUUUAAAGACCUUGACUUCAUGCAGGACAUUCCUGAGGGCCUGAUGCUGGAUGCGGACACUUACAAUGCCCUUGUCAAGACACUCCAGAGAGACUGCUUGGUGCUGGAGAGUUUUAAGAUCAUGGAUUACAGCUUGUUGCUGGGGCUGCAUAACCUGGACCAAGCUGAGAGGGAGCAGAACACUGAGGGCUCUCAGAGCAGCAGUGAUGGGAAGAGACCACCGGCCCAGAAAGCCCUCUACUCCACCGCCAUGGAGUCCAUCCAGGGAGCCUCGGCCUGUGGAGAGGACAUUGACACAGAGGACACGAUGGGAGGCAUACCGGCAGUGAACAGUAAAGGAGAGCGUCUGUUGCUGUACAUUGGCAUCAUUGACAUCCUGCAGUCUUACAGGUUAAUAAAGAAAUUAGAACACACAUGGAAAGCUCUCGUUCAUGACGGGGACACAGUGUCUGUUCACCGGCCUUCAUUCUAUGCAGACAGAUUCUUCAGAUUUAUGAGCAGCACAGUCUUUCGGAAGAGCACCUCCUUGAAGUCCUCUCCCUCAAAGCGUGGUCGCGGAGUCCUGGCUGUGCCCAAAUACUCAGGGCCUGGAGCUGCGUGGUCGAUCAGCCAGCUGCCCUCUGAAAGAGACGACAGCAUUUACGACCUGCGAGGGGCCCGCAGCUUCCCCACACUGGAGGACGAAGGACGCUCAGAUGUGCUUCCCUGCACACCUCCAUCGUUUGAGGAUGCCACCACAGCCUCCAUCGCCACCACACUCUCCUCCACCACCUCUCUCUCCAUUCCUGAGCGCUCCCCAUCUGACACCUCUGAGCACCCCCGCUACAGUCCCAGGAGGCACACCCAGUCUAGCCAAGACGGAACGACUCAGGAGGAAGAUCAGCAGACCAUCACAGUAGAGGUGGAGUUGAAGAGACAAGACAGUGAGCCUACACUCAUAGCCCCACAACCUUCUCCAGAGACAGGUGAAGAACCAGAGCUCCAUGCUGAAGCUUCCUGUUCCAUAGUUCCUGCGAGUCCUAAAAUAGUGGUGGACUCGGACUGCACUAGUCAAGCCUCUGGCUGCCCCAGCCACUCCUCUGUAGACGAGGAUGAUGAUGUGCCAAUCACUGAUAUCUACUUUUCUGCAGAAUCGCUGGUGUGAGGCAAAGGUGUUGUUAGCCUGGUGAGAAACCAGUGUGAGAGUGUGGUGUGUUGAACAGAACACUGUUUCCCCUGCAGUGUGCUGAAGCCAGACGAGGAACAGUUCUGCAUCCAAAAAACACAGAGCAGAAAAUAUUAUUGGAAAAUAAUUAAUAGUGUAAUGAUUAAAAUUAACACUGACUAUUAAAAGAAUAGUAAUGGAAGUCUAUCUCAUCCAAAAUCUAUUUUUAAAUAUAUAUACAAAUUUGAAAUUACUGUAGUUUUGUAUAUACAGCUUUGUAAAUUAUUAGGGAUUUAGUCUGAUACACAUUUAAGCUCAGACUGGAACUAUAUAAUCAUCCAGAUUUCUGAUGUAAUUCUGCACUCGGUAUUGCGCAACAAUAAAACAUGAUUUCAAGAUGGCUCCCCUCUACCUGGUAAAGUUUGUUCCUUUAUAAAGUCAGCACCAGAAUUAUUGGCUACAGCACAUGGUACAAUAAAACACGUAGUGUAUGCGUGCAUAUUUUCAAAAAGAAAUCUGAAUUGGGGAGAUUUCCAUUACUUGUUAUUCAUUAGCAUCAAUAGCCCAGUGCAAAACUAAAAAAGCAACCAUUGGACACGAAACACGUCUUGGUUAAUCAGUUACAUUUGGGCUGAGGACAAAAUCAUGUAAAUGCAAUUUUUUGCUGAAUUCUUCUUUGAUGUUAUGUCAAACUGGGUGUUCUCCCUCUGGCUUGGAAACCUACAAGUUAGUAAUGAACUUGAUUCAUUCAGAUAGUUAAUUUAAUGUUAUCAAAUGUUAGGACUGUCUACUCAUUUUCAUUAUCAGUGUCCAGAGUGAUGUGUUAUGCUGCCUGGUCUAAACUGCAUGUGACGUGUGUGUGUUUUUUUUUUUCCUUGCUGCAUACCUUCAUCAGAUUUUUCCACAGUGUGCUGUAACCUUUGCAUGAAAAUGCAACAUUUCAUCUCAUUUUAGUGCCUGGUUUCAGACUGGCUUUCAGACUGGUUUUAGAAAUGUUUAUUUUUUACUGCAUGUGUGUGUCUUAAGGCCUCUCGCUGCAUAAUAACCAUGCUUAAGCAGCAGUGACGGAGGAUGUUAUUGAAAGCACUUUUGUCAUCCCUGUUGCUAAGAAAUACAACUGUCAGCCAUCAGCUUGUUUACAAUCACAUCAGUCUUCUGCUGUGUGCAUGACUCAAGCUGCUUCUUCAUCAUUGAAGGAAAUGAGUUCUAGAAAAAUAACUAAAUAUUGGGAAAUUAUGUAAGGAAUAUAACAUCUGGGAGCAUGCUAUUAUAGGAAAAUAAUUAGUGAUGGGGUGGUGUGAAGCUAAGUUACCAUUCCCAUCACAAAGCUGAUUAUUUUCCAAUAACAGCAUGUUGUGUUGUAUUCCUCUUACACCACAACAAUUUGCCAAAGUUUACAAUUUUUAUUUAUUAAAUAACGACAUAUAAUACUUUAUCCAUUUAUAGUUAAGUUUAAUGUUGUGGAACGUCCACGAAACAAUCCAGUUCCUGUAAACUAAUAAACACUUUCUGGCCAAUCGGUUUUAAGAAUUCAACAGCACUGUGGUAUAAAAUAACUGAAUGCUGUCCUGAAUGUUGGAGUUAGGAGCAAGCCAUCAGUUGAACCUGACUGGGUUUAAUAAAUUUGCUUCCAUUCUCUUGCAGCUUAUAUCACCUACCCUGUGUCACUUGUUCAUUUGUUUGUUUUCCUCACUCAGUUCCUCUCUUUUUCCUCUACUUCUUUCUCUACAUGACUACAUGAUCAGAUAUCAGUUUUAACGUUUGCAUCUGUCACACCUUUUAUAUUCUGUUCUUUAUCUUUUUGGCUGUUUAUUUCCUUAUUUGUCUGCUCAUUUUUUUUAUUCACACCCAUUUUCUCUCUCUCUCUCUCUCUCUCUCUCUUUCUCUCUCUCUCUGGGUCUCACUCAUGCAUGUGCACACACACACACUUCUCCUGUAUGCUGUAAGUUCUCUGAUGGCAGCUGUGUCUGCAAGACCAUUACACACAGCAGGAGGCUAACUCCAGGCCACAGUGUAAGUCCUGGUAGUGAACUAGCCUGCUGUGGAACAGAUAGUGACUGUAGUGCUGUCGUAAUAGAGAAAUUAGUCACACACACAUCCUGCUGGCAUGUUUAGCUUCUUUAACAAAUGUUGAAAGGCCACCACUGCCUUUUCCACUUCCCAUUUCAUUAGCGCAGCUCCGGUUCCCUCUUCUGCAGCCUGCUACCUCUCUUCCUGUUUUUAUUACAAACUGCCUUUAUACAGUAGAUGGGAGGCUUAGGGUUUUAACAAGCAAAAAUUGUGCGUGCAUGUCCAAAAAAAUAUAAAAACCUCCAAAAAUAUAAAAAACUGACACUGGAAUAAAAUGCGAAAUAGCCAUGCGCAAAAAUCUGCUCUUAAUUUUUUUGGACAUAAUAUUACAAAAAAAAAAUUUAAAAUGUUAAAACAAUAUAGGAAUUAAGAUAUCUAUUACAUUAAAUAUUUUUUAUUAUUAUUUAUUAAUUAUUAUUAAAAUACAAGAGCCCCAGAAUGUGUAAUUACAAAUAAUUAUACAUUAUAUGUUUAUAUAUUUCUACAUUAUAAAUAAUUAUUAUAGAAUAAUACAUUUUUAAUAUGAAUGGCCUAGGAACAUAUUUACACAUAAAAAUGUAUGGAAGUUACAUGCAUGAAUAUGGAAAUUAGGAAAAAUCUACCAAAUAGCUAGCCAGCUAGUUACCUGCUAGUAAACUAACUGCUAGUAAACUAGCUCACGUUUGAGCUCACGAGUGAGAUUUCCAUACCUGAGUCUUGAUUCUCAUCAUUAUUUCCACAGCGAUUUAUUUGCCAACAGACAAACCAGCCGUUUACCUUUAUUCUUACUAUCUAAUAAUUAGCAUUUUGAACAUGAUAGGUUCAGGGUAUUUUGUGACAUCACCAACACUUUUCAAAUCAGUUUUUAUGGAAGUACUGAGCUUGUUUUAAAACAGAAACUGUGAAUUUAGUGCAUUGUUAAAACCCAAGCACUAAUCCAAAAAUCACAUUUUUGAGUUUUAAUGGUUCUUUAAUGUAAUUCUUCUUUCUUUCAUCACUGGGUUUGUCUCAAACUUUCAUCUCCUGCACUGUCUUCUAUUUCUCUCUCACGUCUCUGCUCUGUUGCUUUCUCAUUCCGGCUGCUGCGCUCUCUCUGCUGCCUAAAGCAGCCUCCGGAGGAGAGGAGCUGGGUUUAUUCUCCUCUGCACUACGCUACAGAGUCUAGGACUCUGCCCACAGGGGAUGAGGACAGCGAUACCCAGUGAAUGUGACUACUCUGGAGAUUGCGAAUGCGUGAAGUGGCUUCCAACUCAACUCAACUGACCAAACUUCCUACCACAUUUUUAAGUGACUGGUGUCUUUGAUCCAUCUUAUCUUGAUCCAAAACCACUUGCAAGCUGCAGUGUGAAGCUUUGUGCUGAACGUACACUAGCGUCAUUCUGCUGUCGUCCUUCUGUCAUUCCGUGUACUAACAGCACGCCAGUCAGUAAUAACUGCAUCCUUUGAGAUAACAUUCCUGUAAUUCAUAAAAAGUUUUUUAUUUUGUUUUUUACUUUUCUAUGUGUGUGAUUCUCUGAGUGUGAUACUGUGAACAUACUUUUCAUAUGUAUAGAGAAAACGUUUGGUGUGUAAUGUGAGUUUGGAGGAAGCUUGCUCUUGCUUGAUUGAAACUACAAUUCAAGCAUCUAUAUUCUACAAUUAACUUCACUCAGUGAUGUGAUGAACUACUGGUAAUGUUAUAUUGUCAGCUAUAUCAGGGGGGACAAAUGAUACAUUUAUCAGCCAACCAAUCAGUGUGCUUACCCAGUCUGAAGCUUUGGUUGCCUGGAAACUUAAUUAACCAGGUUAAAAAGUGCUAGCUAACAUAAUGUAGUAACAUAUGGCCAGCUAGUUAGCUAGUGCUUUAAUACAGACUAAAAGAAUCAAAGGGGUAUAUGAACUCCCAGGGAGGGGCCGACUGUGUGAUGUGCUUAUCCUCUCCUUCUAACGUUUCUAAUGUAGCACAUUGUAAACUUGACAAAAAGUCACGAAAGUUUCGGCAAACGUUUCGGCUAUGGGCUGUGGUGUUCUCUCCUUGCAUCGCAAUUAAGGAUAUGAUUUAAAUCUGGCUAGCGCCUUUAUUCCCUUUCAACAUGUUUAACUAAGAGGUGACUGUGUGUUGUGCUACCAGGAGAGUUAGAUGACAGCGAUGCACUUUGUUUUUGCUCAGUUUCACCUGUGUGUUUCCAAUUCUGAAAAGAUCAUCUGUCAUCUGUGCACACUAAUUAUUUUACCUAGUAAAAAAUGUCAUACCAACACCUUGGCUGAUGUGUGCUGUGCAGCAGGUGGUGGAAUUCGGAAGCGUCACACCACCAUGAAGCACAUUAGGUUUAAACCAAAAUACCACAUAGAGGAUAGUUUGAAAAGCAGCCAGAGAAUUUUAUGCAAGCUGUAAUGUACACAUGGAUUAUUUGUUGACUUGGGUAUUAGGAAUGGUUUGGUCUGUUUUUGAUACAUUCUGGGUGAUUUCAGCUCCUGCAGAUGCCUCUAAAGGGUCAUCCAACAAACUUCAGUUGAGUUUAUAAAGUACUGUUACAGCUUCCAACGUGGUGACCAAGUGGGAAUGACCAAGGGAAAGUCAAAAAAAAGGGCAAGUUUAAUUAAACACAGCAUUGGAACUAAUUGAUAUUUGUCCACACACAAUAUAUAGAAUCACAGCAGAUUUUAUUUGGGCUGUUUGACGUUAAAGACACUAUAAAUUCCCACAGUUUCCUGAGAACUCUUCCUUACUAAGACUGUAUUUAAAUUUUUCAGGAAUCAAGCCUUUUGUUCGAUAAAGGCCUAUCUUUAAAACCUAUAGACAUGCUUCCUCUUAUGACUGUUCAAUCACAGCACUUUUUAUUUUGCCAUAUCACAAUCAUUUGAGCAGAAUGCAAGUUUUCCAUCGGUGUUGUGAUCUACACUGCAGGAAAGGUUUAAAGAAUUUGAUCAAAUGUAUAUUUAUUUGUAUGUAUAGAGUAAUUUAAGUGUGUAUGUGUUUGAAAGUGUGAGCGUGAGGACGUGUGAUUUAAUAGAUAUUUGAUGGGUGUUAAAAUGCUGAUCAUGAUCACAUGCUGUUGUGUGAUAUAAUGGACCUACAGCAGCAAUACAGAGUGUUUGUAAUUUUUGGUUGCCUUAUUUAUUUCUUAUUUUUAGUGUUCUGACACCAUAGUUAGUGACUCACUAAUGAUAUGUACAUAGAAAUAUAAAUACAAAUAAUGAAGAAAUACUGACUGUAUUUUAUUCUGUGAAUUUGGAGAGUUUUUUUUUUUUUUUUUACUUUUCUUCCCUCAAGCUGCACAUAAAAAUUAAUCAAGUGAAGCAGAUUCCUCCCAAGAUGAAGAGCGUGCAGCCGUAUUUGCGUUUCAGACGUCGCUUUGUGCCGUACGUGUGAACUUUACUGAAUAUGCAAAUAUAUCGAUUGCAUCAUCUUAUGAAAGUUAAGCUAUGUCUGUGUAUGUGUGGUUAAAAACAUGUGGCCCUGAUCAAUUAGACUAAGCAAUGCUGUAGAGACCAAGCAUGUUAUCAUUGAAAAUUGUAAAUAUAAACUGAAAAUUAAAAAUGAAACAUUUUAUCCUUUUUAUUUAUACAGGAAGUUUAAAGGGAUGGUUCAGUGAAAAAUCAUUAUUUACACAAUUUUUCCUUUAAAAUAAGUGUAUUUGAUCAACAAAGACCUGUUUGGUGUCUGAAGUUUUGUACUGAAACUAUGCUGUUUCUGUAAAUGCACACCUCAAACCACAUCCAGUUAUUAAGUAACGUUAAUGCUGUAAUGUUAUGAUGUGAUGAAAAAAUGGGGGUGGAGGGAAUUGUGCAAAUUAAAUUUCUUGCUGAACUGUUUCUUUAAUAGAUGAGUAGUUCAUAGGAGUGUGUGGGAGAGAGAAAGAGAGAGAGAAUCUGUGUACACGUGCAAGUGCAUUUAUUUGACCUUCUCUGGAAAUAAAUAUACUUGACGUCUGUUAA